CUUUAGUUCCUUGUAUGUGUCAGAUAAGGCUUCCGGCUUCCACAUAUGGGUUGAAGAGCUUAUGACCUACUGUAACUGCCAAUGCUUAAAGCUGAUCAUAAUUUUAUGGACGAGAUCAUGUUCAUGUGCGUAUUGUAAUAUUUACAUUUGCUGGUACUUUCUACCUCAGCCAUGUUAAGCAGUACUGUAUUACAUCAUUUAUACUGAUAUUGACUUGAUCUUAUCUCUUUCAGGCACUAGCCCUAACAUUUACAGACUUUGUAACUGAACCCUUAGAGCACAUCUGGAAAGAAAUUGGCAAGGUCAUUAUUUCUUUUCUUUCAGAAAUCCCAGGCCAUUUGCAAAUUCCAGUCCUUAUUUGCAUGACAAUUAUUCUAUUGGUAAGUUUUAAUAAGUAUAUUAUAUGGAUAUGUGUGUACACAUAUAUUAUAUGGCCAAAAGUAUGUUGAUAUAGAUGUAUAUGCUUAGCUAGGACUCUGUGCAGGACCCACAUCGAACUUGUCAAACCAUGUCUUUAUGGACCUUGCUUUCUGCAUAGGGACACAACUACGCUGGAGCAAGAAGGUGCCUUCUACAUGCUGUUGCCACAAAGGCCUUGAUUUAAUAUUGUUAGGUACAUUUUCCAUAGUUUUUUUCUCCAAAUAAAUAUAUAUUAGAUCACUUGGAAAACGUAUCAACAAUAUUAAAUCAAGGUCAUAGUUGGAGCACCCAGUUGAAUUAAAUGUAUUUCUAUACCAAACAGCCUCAGACCAUUAUCACUCCUCCACUAAACUUUACAGUAGGCACUAUGCGUUCUGGUAGGAGGCAUUCUCCUGGCAUGUUCCACAACCAGAUUCUUCCAUCAGAUUGCCAGAAAGCAAGGUGUGACAUAUCACUCCAGAGAUGACUUUAACGGAUCGACGGACACCCCGACUGGGUACCUCCGUUGAAGGAUGCUCCUAGUGCUUCCUGAGGACUCCAAGCACUGCAGCAGACACCACAACCACUGAACCGGAGAAGCAUACGAAUGCUCUCAAGCAUAUGAAUGCUGUAAGCAGCUGAACAGGAAAAGCAUACAAUCAGCUUACACUCCUGGCAAUCAGCAUACAAUCCAAUUCCCCCAAUAAUGAGACGACACUUCGUUUUGAGGUCAAGCAGAACUGACUGUACUGGCACAUACAGCCUCUUUUAUUCACAAUCCACAAACAUAGUACUGCCCACAGGGUUUUGAAACACAACCAAACAAUCCGUACAAUACACAGAGACACUCCCACACAAAAUCCUCCCCUCUGCCUGUGAUAUGAUUACUGAACACAAUAGGUAAUAUAAUUAUCACAGGCAGAGAAAUACAGUUUUUACAAAAUAUUAGUAACUUCCAAAAUAUACAUGCCAUUCACAUAAAACAUACAUUUUCAGAAUCCGCAUGCUUGAAAUAUACACAUACUCAAAAAUCAGGGCAAUCGGUUCAGGGGUUAAAAAGUUAAGGGAAAGUCCUAUUUGACCAAAUGAAGCAUGGCUUUUCUGCCCAAAACCAGUUCCACAGAGUCUUCUAUCCUGGAGAUAAUUGGGAAGUAAUCCAAUUAUCUCCAAGGACAGAGGCAAAACUCCAUUAGCCACAUGCUUGCAAAAUACAAUAAAAUACAUAAAAAUAUAUAACUGUGCAGCUAUUGCAUAAAACAGGUACAUAUCCCCAGAUAGCUUAGAUCUGAGCGCAAUUUAUUACUGAAUGGCGUUCAGAUCACAUACAUACAGUUCAAUUGCCAUGGAGCCAAAGUCUUUCACAUAGUCUUUCGUUAUACGAAUGGGCUCCAUGGCAUAGCUAUCUGGGAUAACACUGCUCACAUAGGGAAAGUUCUGAAUGACCCGGCUUUCGGGUCUUUGCAGGGGAAAAUCCAGCAUUUCAACAUGGGGCCAUAGUCACAGGGCAGGAGGCUGGAAAUCAGUCUUCUCCAAUGCCCAGUGGCAAAGCUGGUUCCGCCACAAUGACCUUUCCACUGCUCUACUCCAGAUGAUGCUUGGCAUUGCGCCUCUUGCUGUGAGGCUUGUGUACAUCUGCUCAGUCAUGGAAAACCAUCUAAUAAAGCUCCCAAUGCACAGCUCUCGUGCUGAUGUUGCUUCCAGAGGCAGUAUGGGACUCUGUAGUGAGUGAUAUAACCGAUAAUAAGGAACUUAGGAGUAUUAAGAGUGUCCUUCAUUUAUAAAGUACUGGUUUCAGGGGAGACACUUUAUUAGUGACCUAAGAUGCAUCCUCAUGGCUGGAAGAUGAAUAAGAGGGAGCUCUUCCUUAUUUUUAAACUCUUGCUUAAAGUGAUCGACAAUGCUUCUCUAUGAGAAUCAUUCUAUUGGUACAGUGAAGCAGGACUCCACUGCUUUCACACGAUUUAAGGUUAAACCAUAAUCACCUACCAGUCUUUCUAAGAGUCAUUCCCCAUACUCAUUCUUUUAUCUUUGUUCUGAAGUUCAGCCAUGUUAACUGAGUAAACCUCGUUUCACAAUUGUUUGCCUGCUGUAAAAUAUGCUGUACUUAGAAUUUAGUAAUAUGUACUUUAACACUAUUGGUUCUGUAUAAAACACUUUCAUUGUGUAACCAUCUGUAUUAAAUUAUUAUUCAUUUUUCAGGGGUUUUUCAACAGAAUAAAUUAACAUGGUUCGUCCUGACCAAGGAAGGAGGCAUGCUGUGGAG